AUACGGAGGGUGCAAGUGUUAUUCGGAAUCACUGGGCGUAAAGGACGCGUAGGCGGGUUGGCAAGUCAGAUGUGAAAUCCUACAGCUUAACUGUAGAACUGCAUUUGAAACUGCUAACCUAGAGUAUGGGAGGGGGAGAUGGAAUUAGUGGUGUAGGGGUAAAAUCCGUAGAUAUCACUAGGAAUACCGAAAGCGAAGGCGAUCUCCUGGAACAUAACUGACGCUAAGGCGUGAAAGCGUGGGGAGCAAACAGGAUUAGAUACCCUUGUAGUCC
rnacentral:rRNA from 1 species